rnacentral:rRNA from 1 species
AGAGUUUGAUCCUGGCUCAGAUUGAACGCUGGCGGCAUGCCUUACACAUGCAAGUCGAACGGCAGCAUGAUCUAGCUUGCUAGAUUGAUGGCGAGUGGCGAACGGGUGAGUAAUACAUCGGAACGUGCCCUGUAGUGGGGGAUAACUAGUCGAAAGAUUAGCUAAUACCGCAUACGACCUGAGGGUGAAAGUGGGGGACCGCAAGGCCUCAUGCUAUAGGAGCGGCCGAUGUCUGAUUAGCUAGUUGGUGGGUAAAGGCCCACCAAGGCGACGAUCAGUAGCUGGUYUGAGAGGACGAUCAGCCACACUGGGACUGAGACACGGCCCAGACUCCUACGGGAGGCAGCAGUGGGGAAUUUUGGACAAUGGGCGAAAGCCUGAUCCAGCAAUGCCGCGUGUGUGAAGAAGGCCUUCGGGUUGUAAAGCACUUUUGUCCGGAAAGAAAUGGCUCUGGUUAAUACCUGGGGUCGAUGACGGUACCGGAAGAAUAAGGACCGGCUAACUACGUGCCAGCAGCCGCGGUAAUAC